rnacentral:tRNA from 1 species
CGGGGGGGGCAGCAGCUCGGUAGCUCGCCGGAAUCCUGACCCGGAGGUCGCGUGGUUCAAAUACCGCCCCCUUAC